UGGCGGCAGGCCUAACACAUGCAAGUCGAGCGGCAGCGGGAAGUAGUUUACUACUUUGCCGGCGAGCGGCGGACGGGUGAGUAAUGUCUGGGGAUCUGCCUGAUGGAGGGGGAUAACUACUGGAAACGGUAGCUAAUACCGCAUGACCUCGCAAGAGCAAAGUGGGGGACCUUAGGGCCUCACGCCAUCGGAUGAACCCAGAUGGGAUUAGCUAGUAGGUGGGGUAAUGGCUCACCUAGGCGACGAUCCCUAGCUGGUCUGAGAGGAUGACCAGCCACACUGGAACUGAGACACGGUCCAGACUCCUACGGGAGGCAGCAGUGGGGAAUAUUGCACAAUGGGCGCAAGCCUGAUGCAGCCAUGCCGCGUGUGUGAAGAAGGCCUUCGGGUUGUAAAGCACUUUCAGCGAGGAGGAAGGGGUUGAGUUUAAUACGCUCAAUCAUUGACGUUACUCGCAGAAGAAGC
rnacentral:rRNA from 1 species